GAUAGUUCCCUUCCCAAACUGGAAAGACUGACCUAUGUAACUAAUAUAAUAUUGUGACUACUAAAUUUAGGUCAUAAAAGAUCUUGUGACUUCAGUUUUGCUCCCUUGGAUCCCUCAUUCUUGGGGAGGUCAGGUGCAAUGUCGACAGUUCCAGAGUAGCCCCACAAAGAGGCCAAGGAACCGAGGCCUUCUACCAACAGCCAGCACUGACUUGACAGCCAUGUGAGCCGUAUGGACCAUCUGGGAAUUGGGUCUUCCAGCCCCAGUCAAGUCUUCAGAUGACUCCACUCCCAGCUCUUCUAGGCCAAGAAAGGACAUCCCAAUCCUCCAUCUCAUCCCCAGAUCCAAACUGCUCUCCACCUGUACCUUUUGCAAGGAUCCUUCCUUCAUCCAGAUUCUAUUCUUUGGAUCAGGAAUUUAGACAGAGCAGAAUGGAGUUGGCUUGUCGCUAUGCCACGAUGUCUGGGACUUCAGCUGAAAAGACUUGACCGCUGCCAGUUGGAAUAACCUGGAGACUCCUCUCAUAUUUCUGGUCCUUGAACUAGGAGGUCUCCAAUAUUAGGACAGGAAACCAGGGCACCCAGACAAGGUUUCCAACACAGCUGGGCUUUCUCAUGGCCUGGUGGUUGCAGAAUCACCAAAAUUCUCAUAAGAGAGCCCAGAGAUGGAAGUCUGAGGGCUCCAGAAAAUAAGGCACAAGCUGCGUUGUCCUAAAGAGUAGGGGCAGGGCCUUGCAAAACAUACAGCCUCACUUCCUCCACGCUCUCUUAGUGCAAGCUGUUACAAGCUCACCCAGAUUCAGUGGGACAAGAAUUAGAUUUGAUGAGAGCACAAGAGGCAAGACAGGGAGAAGGGAGUGGGGGUCAGGAGAAAUUGGCGCCACCAUCUUUGGAAAAUUAAAUUUCUCUCAUCAUACAACCAGGAGAAUGUCCCUGAGCAGUAAACUAGAUUAGUAAAUACAUCGGGCCACAUUUAUACAAUGAAAUAUAAAACAGUGCAAAUCAACAAACUAAAGCCCUCUGUCCCAACAUAGUACAGAGGGACGGUUCUUAUUGAGGGAAAAAAGCAGGACGCAAGGAAUACGUAUACUCUGAUCUCGCGUAUAUACGUUUCAAAACCAGGACAAACUAAACCAUAAUGUUCAUGGACAUAUAUAUGUGAUAAAUCUUAGAUUAAAAAAAAAUAAGAAAGAAUUUCCGUGAAAGUCCAGAUAAAGAGCAGAAGGAGGCCACAGACUAUACUACGCGGGUGUCUGGGGAAAAUUGGUACACAUUUUUUUAAAAAAGUUUUAUCAUAUUUUUAAGAGAAGCGUGCUGUUUGCUAAUAACAAAGUAAACCAUGCUUAUGUAGAAACUUUGAAAAACAUAAAAGCUUGGGCACGAGAAUAAAAAUCGUCUACAUUUCCACCACUAUGGAGAAUCUCUGUCACGUUUAGGGAUAUUUUCCGUUUCUAUGAAAA